ACUUCAUGUCUUCAUCUCUCUGAACCUGCGGUCUAUGCGCUGUUUUUAAAUUUUAGCCCCCGUGUUCAUUGUCCCUAAGAAUGAUCUCAGACGCCUUGAUUUUAAUGGCUCCCAUUUCCUCACUAAAUCUCCAAUGGCCAGUAGUGUGUUGUUCCAAAUUUUGCAGUAAACAAGAAUCACAAAACCAAACAAAGUAUACGCAGAUUUUUCACGCGUGUCAUGCUCCGUUGAUUGGCGUCCGCUUCUAUUCAUAGGUUUGCCGUCGGACGCUGCCAAUUCCCAGCCUCUCCUUGUCUCCCCGAGGCUAAAAAUGGGAAGUGCCGGCGACCUAUUUGUACAUUCCUCCGGCGAACCGGAGCUCCGUCAAGCCAGCCGAGAUCCUUGACAGUGCAGUGCCAAGACUCGGGGGGGCAAUUUUGCUCCCUCUUCCCGCUCGUGCCCAGGCCGGGGCCUUGCUUGCUAGCUAGCUUUGAAGCCAGCCAGCAACGCCGCCGCCGCAGGCAUGAAGGGGAGCGGUGCAGCGAUGCCGUCGUCCAUGUUCUACGUCCACGAGGCGGACGUCGCCCAAAUCCACCACUUCCUCGAGGAGUGCUCCCUCUGCGGCAAGUCCCUCUCCGGUGACAUCUUCAUGUACAGGGGAGACACGCCGUUCUGCAGCGAGGAGUGCAGGCAGCAGCAGAUCGAGGUGGACAGGGCGAAGCACCGGCGGAAGAAGCGUGCGGCGGCGCACGCGGUGUCGGUGCGGAAGGAGCACCGGAACCACCACCACCACCACCGGCACCACCACCAGCAGCCACAGCCGCGGCCGGCCAUCGACGCCAACCCGUGGGGCACCGCGCGAGGCCCCGCGUUGCGCGUGUGAGACCGAUCGAGCCGCAUCCGCGCGUCGGGCGCGCGGGGAGGCCACGUCUUUUUUAUUUUCGGGACUUCUGGUGCGACACGGGCAGGACGACGGAGACAAAUACAUUUUCACAACAAUAAAACUGGAAGCCGUUUGUUUCGCCGAAGCUGUUAGGGGGAUUUGGAGGUCAUCAAGGGCCUGUCCCUUUGCCAAGCUGCAAAAUCUAAGUGCCCAAGGAGUCCUGACAGAAAAACAAGUUCUUGAAGUUAAGGUUAUGGUCCUUCUAGAUGUUAGCAUGGAGUAGAUUUCUUUAUGAUGAGAACACAGAGUUGUGUCUUUAGUAUGUCGAUGCAAGCUUAUUUACUUGUUCUUUAGAAACAGAGAGGAAAACCCCGGUUCCAACAUAUUUGAAACCGAAGAGGCUUGCUUUACUUGUUGCUUCCCUACUUUUGCUUUUGCUGGGCUCAACUGUAAGCGUGUGAAACCCAACAAGUUUUAUGAACACUCUUAGGCUGACU